rnacentral:rRNA from 1 species
AAUGAACGCUGGCGGCAGGCCUAACACAUGCAAGUCGAGCGGAGCGGCGGACGGGUGAGUAAUUCCUAGGAAUCUGCCUGGUAGUGGGGGAUAACGUCCGGAAACGGGCGCUAAUACCGCAUACUAUCAGAUGAGCCUAGUUCGGAUGAGCUCGGUGGUGGGGUAAGGGCCUACCAAGGCGACGAUCCGUAACUGGUCUGAGAGGAUGAUCAGUCAAACUGGAACUGAGACACGGUCCAGACUCCUACGGGAGGCAGCAGUGGGGAAUAUUGCGCAAUGGGCGAAAGCCUGAUGCAGCCAGGCCGCGUGUGUGAAGAAGGUCUUCGGAUCGUAAAGCACUGUUAUUAGGGAGGCGUUACCAACAGAAUAAGCACCGGCUAACUUCGUGCCAGCAGCCGCGGUAAUAC